CUCGGGUGUCGGCGUCGGCCUCGCCGCAGCCCUCCUGGUAGCGCAGGCAGGCGUCCACGACGCGGCGGGCGGCCCGCAGCUCUUGCACUUAUUGCACCGUCUGUCUUCAUUUCACUGCUCUGUACUACUCUGAUGGGAUGCAUAGAGCUCUGCUAAACUGUGCUAAAGAUCCAUCUGUGGAAGUUUAUCUGCUAUUUUGCUUGUUAAGCAUCCAAGAGGGAGGUAACAGAAAUUUUAAAGGUUUCCACCAUGCUGUUUGUAAAGCCAGCCUUUUUCAUGCCACAGUGUUGUUUUCAUCCUUUGUGCAAAGAAGAGGCUCAACAGUACUUUUAGAAUCACAACUAGUUCAGAACGGUUUGUCUGCAUUUGCUGCCUUCUCUUGCUGCUCUGUUCGCCUGUGUCAGAGCCAAAUGAUGAAGCAAAGCCAUCAUCUCUCCGAGUCAGGCACUGACACACAGUAGGAUGAGAAGCCUCUCCUUGCUGAGGGGUGCUGGGCUUGGUCAAUAAUCACUGCAGCAGGAGCUUUGUGCUUGGAGUGCAGCUGCUGCUGCUGGCAGGGCUGGAUGCUGCCUCUCUGGAUGCCCCACAUUUGGGUGUUUGUUACUCACUGCUCAGUGACUUUCACAGACGUCAGUGUUUGUUACCUGCUGGGGAGAAAUUCAACCUCUGCAUGUUGGCCGGUGUACAGAGUGUUCCCUCUCUUUAAUGUCACCACCCUUCCAGCCCACGCUGGCUCUGAGGCUCUAAGGCCCAGUUGGGGUGCUCAGUCACAUGUUCCCAUAUCUAUGGAAACCCAGGGCACUGGGAAUAUUUCUCUGUCUGCUCUAGGGUGCCCUGACCCCCAGGGGAACACUGACUU